CUACGUAGGGGGCGAGCGUUGUCCGGAAUGAUUGGGCGUAAAGGGCGCGUAGGCGGUGCGGUAAGUCUGGAGUGAAAGUCCUGCUUUCAAGGUGGGAAUUGCUUUGGAUACUGCCGCGCUUGAGUGCAGGAGAGGUUAUCGGAAUUCCCGGUGUAGCGGUGAAAUGCGUAGAGAUCGGGAGGAACACCAGUGGCGAAGGCGGGUAACUGGACUGCAACUGACGCUGAGGCGCGAAAGUGUGGGGAGCAAACAGGAUUAGAUACCCUGGUAGUCCACACUGUAAACGAUGAAUGCUAGGUGUAAGAGGUAUCGACCCCUUUUGUGCCGGAGUCAACACAAUAAGCAUUCCGCCUGGGGAGUACGGCCGCAAGGUUGAAACUCAAAGGAAUUGACGGGG
rnacentral:rRNA from 1 species